rnacentral:rRNA from 1 species
GACGAACGCUGGCGGCGUGCUUAACACAUGCAAGUCGAACGGAAAGGCCCUGCUUUUGUGGGGUGCUCGAGUGGCGAACGGGUGAGUAACACGUGAGUAACCUGCCCUUGACUUUGGGAUAACUUCAGGAAACUGGGGCUAAUACCGGAUAGGAGCUCCUGCUGCAUGGUGGGGGUUGGAAAGUUUCGGCGGCUGGGGAUGGACUCGCGGCUUAUCAGCUUGUUGGUGGGGUAGUGGCUUACCAAGGCGUUGACGGGUAGCCGGCCUGAGAGGGUGACCGGCCACAUUGGGACUGGGAUACGGCCCAGACUCCUACGGGAGGCAGCAGUGGGGAAUAUUGCACAAUGGGCGGAAGCCUGAUGCAGCAACGCCGCGUGCGGGAUGACGGCCUUCGGGUUGUAAACCGCUUUCGCCUGUGACGAAGCGUGAGUGACGGUAAUGGGUAAAGAAGCACCGGCUAACUACGUG